UACGGGGGGGGGUAAGCGUUGUUCGGAAUUACUGGGCGUAAAGGGCUCGUAGGCGGCCAACUAAGUCAGACGUGAAAUCCCUCAGCUUAACUGGGGAACUGCGUCUGAUACUGGAUGGCUUGGAUCCGGGAGAGGGAUGCGGAAUUCCAGGUGUAGCGGUGAAAUGCGUAGAUAUCUGGAGGAACACCUGCGGCGAAGGCGGGUUGCUGGGCCGACACUGACGCUGAGGCGCGAAAGCCAGGGGAGCGAACGGG
rnacentral:rRNA from 1 species